rnacentral:lncRNA from 1 species
UAUUGGUCUCUUCUCUCUUGAGACAGAUAAGCAAAACAAGCCCAUUCAAUAAUCACGUGAAACCAACUUCCAUGUCUGAUAAACCUAGAUUCGUGAUCCUCAAACAAACAACAAACUUAGAGUUGGGGAAAUGAAACUGUCCAAUACAGCAAUCGAUUUGUCUUUGGAAGGAAUUCCUCAACCAUAAUUUUGAGACAACAACUGAAUUAUCUACAAGCCAAGGUAAGUAGACAGCAGCACAUCGUCUUAAUCCUUAACAAUCACAGCGUACCGAUCGCACUAAUCGCGUGUGAUCCAUCCACAACGGGCCCUACUAACAAAUCGCUUGCGCUCAUCAACCCUGAUAUCCGAACACCAUGUCACAAAAUUCGAAGCUCAAAGCAACAAAAAGGCGCAGAAUCUUACCCUCUCGGGUUCAUGGCGCUCGUCUCGAUCCGAAUCGUGCUGCCUCCUGCCUGCAGGAAUCAAACCCUAAACCCAUCAGAGACAAACAAAACAUUGAGGGCUUGUUCAAUUAGCUCUCAAUUCAUAUGGAUUAAGUGAGAUUGGAUGAGUUUGAAUCUCAAACAAGUCAAACUUUUUCUUAUUUUUUUCCAAUCUCAUCCAAUCCAUGUGUAUUGGGGAUAACCGAACAAGCCCUGAAGAGGGCACACUAAGAGCACGAAAACGCAGAGGGAAAAUCCGGAGAGGGAUGGUCGAGUGCGGGGAUCUGCGGACAAUCCAGCGAACUCACCUCUCGAUCGAUUCGCGUCGGAUCGGCGUGAAUUUAGGAUUCACGAAGCACUGCGAGAAGCCGCGGAGGGGAGGAGGACUGGAGGACAAGGAGUUAUGCUACGCGCUUCGUAGAAGUGAGAUUUACACAGAUAGCGUCACGUGUGCCAGGAUGUGAGAUGUCAAAGGCGUUGGGACCCACCGGCAGCGAGAGGAGCCUGUAGGGGCAGGUCGCUGUCGUCCGUCCGUUCGGAGAGGUGACGUGGCGCGUUCCGAUCGGACGGUCGGCGUCGACUCGUCACGAGCUCGUCCUCUU